UGGGGAAUAUUGGACAAUGGGGGCAACCCUGAUCCAGCGAUGCCGCGUGAGUGAUGAAGGCCUUCGGGUUGUAAAGCUCUUUUGUGGGGGACGAUGAUGACGGUACCCCACGAAUAAGCCCCGGCUAACUUCGUGCCAGCAGCCGCGGUAAUACGAAGGGGGCUAGCGUUGUUCGGAAUGACUGGGCGUAAAGGGCGCGUAGGCGGUUUGAUAAGUUUGGUGUGAAAGUCCUGGGCUUAACCUGGGGAUUGCACUGGAUACUGUUGGACUAGAGGUCGAGAGGGGAGAAUGGAAUUGCGAGUGUAGAGGUGAAAUUCGUAGAUAUUCGCAAGAACACCGGUGGCGAAGGCGGUUUUCUGGCUCGAAUCUGACGCUAAGGCGCGAAAGCGUGGGGAGCAAA
rnacentral:rRNA from 1 species